UGCCAAGUGAUCUACUGAAUUUUCAGAGUAGU
rnacentral:piRNA from 1 species